rnacentral:rRNA from 1 species
GACGAACGCCGGCGGCGUGCUUAACACAUGCAAGUCGAACGGAAAGGCCCUGCUUUUGUGGGGUGCUCGAGUGGCGAACGGGUGAGUAACACGUGAGUAACCUGCCCUUGACUUUGGGAUAACUUCAGGAAACUGGGGCUAAUACCGGAUAGGAGCUCCUGCUGCAUGGUGGGGGUUGGAAAGUUUCGGCGGUUGGGGAUGGACUCGCGGCUUAUCAGCUUGUUGGUGGGGUAGUGGCUUACCAAGGCUUUGACGGGUAGCCGGCCUGAGAGGGUGACCGGCCACAUUGGGACUGAGAUACGGCCCAGACUCCUACGGGAGGCAGCAGUGGGGAAUAUUGCACAAUGGGCGGAAGCCUGAUGCAGCAACGCCGCGUGCGGGAUGACGGCCUUCGGGUUGGAAACCGCUUUCGCCUGUGACGAAGCGUGAGUGACGGUAAUGGGGAAAGAAGCACCGGCUAACUACGU